rnacentral:lncRNA from 1 species
AUUCAAUCGAGACUGUCGCAUUACUAACACCUCCUGUUUUGAAGACAGUAUUCCUUCAACUGUCCUCUCUGCAGAGAAGAAAAAGUAAAAGCCCUUCUUUUACUUUUCUAGUCCCAUCCGAAGCACGUGAACAUCUACGGAACCUUCCCUGCAGGUAUGUCAGAUAAAAUCCUUAGAAUCACUGAGAAAGCACAUUCGGAGGGAAGCUUCACAGUGACUCUGCAGUGAGGGCCGUAUCAGUGACAGUCCCUCCCAAGCCUGUCUCACCGGAGACGCCUCUGCCUCCAGGGUUUUUGCUACCUCCCCGCUCCUCAGCCCUGAGCUGAGGGUAAGGACAGUGAGGACCUUUGCCAAAGAAUGGGCUUUAAGGAAUGGGACCUAAUGUCUACUGCAGACCCUGUGAAAUGGCUGAAACAAUCUGCUACCCGAAGCCCCAAAGGCUCUGAUUACCGGUCGCCGCUCACCUGCUGGGGCGCGAGGUGCAGAGACUGUACCGACCGAGGACCCAGAGGCUGUCACCACGGAGGGGAAGUCCUCAGCUGCACAGGUUGGGGGGGGGGGGGGGGGCGGGCCCAACCAGUCACAUGACGUCGAGCUCCGCCCUGCCUCCUCCAUCCCAGCGCUCUACAUCUCGGGGGGCCUGAAUUUUUACGGAUCCCUUGAAUAUUAAUUUUCUUGGAUUAAAGAAAUAAAAGAUAAAUUUUCA